rnacentral:rRNA from 1 species
GAUGAACGCUGGCGGCGUGCCUAAUACAUGCAAGUCGAGCGAACAGACGAGGAGCUUGCUCCUCUGACGUUAGCGGCGGACGGGUGAGUAACACGUGGAUAACCUACCUAUAGACUGGGAUAACUUCGGGAAACCGGAGCUAAUACCGGAUAAUAUAUUGAACCGCAUGGUUCAAUAGUGAAAGACGGUUUUGCUGUCACUUAUAGAUGGAUCCGCGCCGCAUUAGCUAGUUGGUAAGGUAACGGCUUACCAAGGCAACGAUGCGUAGCCGACCUGAGAGGGUGAUCGGCCACACUGGAACUGAGACACGGUCCAGACUCCUACGGGAGGCAGCAGUAGGGAAUCUUCCGCAAAGGGCGAAAGCCUGACGGAGCAACGCCGCGUGAGUGAUGAAGGUCUUCGGAUCGUAAAACUCUGUUAUUAGGGAAGAACAAAUGUGUAAGUAACUAUGCACGUCUUGACGGUACCUAAUCAGAAAGCCACGGCUAACUACGUG